rnacentral:rRNA from 1 species
UAUCGGAGGAAAAGAAACCAACAGGGAUUGCCUCAGUAGCGGCGAGUGAAGCGGCAAAAGCUCAAAUUUGAAAUCUGGCGUCUUUGGCGUCCGAGUUGUAAUUUGAAGAAGGUAUCUUUGGGCCCGGCUCUUGUCUAUGUUCCUUGGAACAGGACGUCACAGAGGGUGAGAAUCCCGUGCGAUGAGAUGACCCGGGUCUGUGUAAAGUUCCUUCGACGAGUCGAGUUGUUUGGGAAUGCAGCUCUAAGUGGGUGGUAAAUUCCAUCUAAAGCUAAAUAUUGGCGAGAGACCGAUAGCGAACAAGUACAGUGAUGGAAAGAUGAAAAGAACUUUGAAAAGAGAGUGAAAAAGUACGUGAAAUUGUUGAAAGGGAAGGGCUUGAGAUCAGACUUGGUAUUUUGCAUGUUGCUCUCUCGGGGGCGGCCGCUGCGGUUUACCGGGCCAGCAUCGGUUUGGAGCGGCAGGAUAAUGGCGGAGGAAUGUGGCACGGCUUCUGCUGUGUGUUAUAGCCUCUGACGAUACUGCCAGCCUAGACCGAGGACUGCGGUUUUUACCUAGGAUGUUGGCAUAAUGAUCUUAAGUCGCCCGUCUG